AAGGGUAUAGCUAGAUUAAAAGCAUCUCACCUACAAUGAGAAGACAGUUGUUGAAAGUUCAAUUUACCUUUA
rnacentral:tRNA from 1 species